rnacentral:rRNA from 1 species
UACGGAGGGUGCAAGCGUUAUCCGGAUUCACUGGGUUUAAAGGGUGCGUAGGCGGAUAUGUAAGUCCGUGGUGAAAUCUCUGGGCUUAACCCGGAAACUGCCAUGGAUACUAUGUGUCUUGAAUGUUGUUGAGGUGAGCGGAAUAUGUCAUGUAGCGGUGAAAUGCUUAGAUAUGACACAGAACACCGAUUGCGAAGGCAGCUCACUAAGCCAUAACUGACGCUGAUGCACGAAAGCGUGGGGAGCAAACAGG